UCCUUUCUAAAAUAGGCACCUCUUUCCUCUCACUCCUUUCUCUUUUUUUUAUCCUUAUCCUUCCUCUUUCUCUUCUUACUAGGCUAAAAAUUAUCCCUCAUCUCAUGCGCCACCUUAUCUACCUCUUUACCCUCGCCCCCAUUUGUCAGGGAUUAAGUAUAAAAGUUUGAUACCACAAUGUCAAUACCAAUACCAAAAUCUUCCAUAACUAGCAGUGGUGGAUGCUGGAUAAUCAAGAACUGCUACUUAGGAAGCUUCUUCAUCGUAAUAUUUAAUGCAACCAACUCAUCAGUAAUUGAACUUAGAUUUGGAGCCUGAAAUCUCUCCAACUUAGCCAUCAUCUGGCUCUUAAAUCUAUUAAAAUAGGUUUGCCUACCCCAUACUACUGCCUUAAUCUCAUCCUCUGAGUAGGUUUUUACCCCUACCUCCAAUUUCUUGAUUCUAGUAUCAAGUAUAGCCUGAUUCUUUAUUAUCUGCAAUGUUGCAAGUACCAAAGAGUAGCCUAUAGGCACAAAUUAAAGUACUCCCAAGGUGUUAUGGGCUGCCAUGUGAAAUAUGAAGUAGCAUCAGCUUUGAAAGCUGGAAUCUCAGCAGCCUGUUCAUCCCCCUCUAUUGCGUACAAAGGAAAAUCUAAUAAAGGACCAAGACUUGAGCUACCAGGUUCAAAUUAUCCUUAAUCAAUGCAAUGUCUAUGAUAUUGGUCGAUCAGAAAAAUCUAUCAACUGCUGGAAUGGAUAACACAUUUGACUUCCAACAUAGUAAAGUCACCAAGAUCAGGAAGGGCGAGUAGAGUAAUACAACAGUGCCUUCUCCCAAAUCUCAUCCUUAAUUAUUCACGAAAUUUUUAUCUCUAACUUAUCUUUAAGGAUUGACACCAUUCCUGCCUUGUCAACACUCAAAUGUGUUGUCAUUUCCAGUCGGAUACAUCCGUUGCUUGACAAUGGACCACCAAGCUUUUGUCGGAAAGCACAGUUUGUUUCGUAGAUGGUUGUGUAUAUUAACCAUUCCUCUCUUUCCAUAGCAUCUAUUAUGUGGCAUGCCAGCUACUUGUCGUGAAUCAACUUAUCUACAUUAUUCAACUGCUU
rnacentral:lncRNA from 1 species